rnacentral:rRNA from 1 species
UACGGAGGGGGCUAGCGUUGUUCGGAAUCACUGGGCGUAAAGCGCACGUAGGCGGCUUGUUAAGUCAGGGGUGAAAUCCUGGAGCUCAACUCCAGAACUGCCUUUGAUACUGGCGAGCUUGAGUUCGGGAGAGGUGAGUGGAACUGCGAGUGUAGAGGUGAAAUUCGUAGAUAUUCGCAAGAACACCAGUGGCGAAGGCGGCUCACUGGCCCGAUACUGACGCUGAGGUGCGAAAGCGUGGGGAGCAAACAGG